GUGCCAGCAGCCGCGGUAAUACGUAGGGAGCAAGCGUUGUCCGGAUUUACUGGGUGUAAAGGGUGCGUAGGCGGCUUAGCAAGUCAGGCGUGAAAUAUAUGGGCUUAACCCAUAGACUGCGUUUGAAACUGUUGAGCUUGAGUGAAGUAGAGGUAGGCGGAAUUCCCGGUGUAGCGGUGAAAUGCGUAGAGAUCGGGAGGAACACCAGUGGCGAAGGCGGCCUACUGGGCUUUAACUGACGCUGAGGCACGAAAGCAUGGGUAGCAAACAGGAUUAGAUACCCUGGUAGUCCAUGCCGUAAACGAUGAUUACUAGGUGUGGGGGGUCUGACCCCUUCCGUGCCGGAGUUAACACAAUAAGUAAUCCACCUGGGAAGUACGACCGCAAGGUUGAAACUCAAAUGAAUUGACGG
rnacentral:rRNA from 1 species